AAUAGAUACCCAGGUAGUCCACGCCGUAAACGAUGUCGACUUGGAGGUUGUGCCCUUGAGGCGUGGCUUCCGGAGCUAACGCGUUAAGUCGACCGCCUGGGGAGUACGGCCGCAAGGUUAAAACUCAAAUGAAUUGACGGGGGCCCGCACAAGCGGUGGAGCAUGUGGUUUAAUUCGAUGCAACGCGAAGAACCUUACCUACUCUUGACAUCCAGAGAACUUAGCAGAGAUGCUUUGGUGCCUUCGGGAACUCUGAGACAGGUGCUGCAUGGCUGUCGUCAGCUCGUGUUGUGAAAUGUUGGGUUAAGUCCCGCAACGAGCGCAACCCUUAUCCUUUGUUGCCAGCGAUUCGGUCGGGAACUCAAAGGAGACUGCCAGUGAUAAACUGGAGGAAGGUGGGGAUGACGUCAAGUCAUCAUGGCCCUUACGAGUAGGGCUACACACGUGCUACAAUGGCGCAUACAAAGAGAAGCGACCUCGCGAGAGCAAGCGGACCUCAUAAAGUGCGUCGUAGUCCGGAUUGG
rnacentral:rRNA from 1 species